rnacentral:rRNA from 1 species
CCCCCAUAGACGAUGGGGUCGAUAGGCCGCAGGUGGAAGGGCAGCAAUGUCCGUAGCCGAGCGGUACUAAUUGCCCGUAAGGCUUGCGCA